rnacentral:rRNA from 1 species
CAGCAGCCACGGUAAUACGUAGGUGGCAAGCGUUGUCCGGAAUUAUUGGGCGUAAAGCGCGCGCAGGCGGCCUAUCCAGUCUGUCUUAAAAGUUCGGGGCUCAACCCCGUGAUGGGAUGGAAACUAGUAGGCUAGAGUAUCGGAGAGGAAAGCGGAAUUCCUAGUGUAGCGGUGAAAUGCGUAGAUAUUAGGAAGAACACCAGUGGCGAAGGCGGCUUUCUGGACGAAAACUGACGCUGAGGCGCGAAAGCCAGGGGAGCGAACGGGAUUAGAUACCCCAGUAGUCCCUGUCUCUUAUACC